AUACCACAUCACAUAAAGGAAUACAACAGUUAAAACAUGAUCUAUUAAUUUCCAUAACAAACAGCUAGAAAACAUGGUUUUGACUAUUACAACAGCAGUACAAUCGAGGACCUACUAAUUCCGCCAUUAAACAACAAUUUGAGGUCUAAUAAAGACCAAGAGAAAAGAAAACUCCAAAAAAGGGGGAGAAAAUAAAUCACACAAACAAUUCAGCCAAAUUGAACAACUUAAUACAAGAAAAGCAAGAGUGAUCAGUAGGAACUCUAAUCCAUUAGCAAUAUGUUGCACACAGAUGCCUUAAUCUUCCUAAUCAUACCCAAUAUGUAAUUUCUUUUUCCCUUCAAAAUCCUAUCCAUUUGAGUAUAUAACCAUAAAUCACAAUGCUCUACUCUAUGCCAGUCAUUGGAGUAGAAAUUAGGAAUUAAUCACUGCAAUCUUUGUGUUCUCAACUUGUAGUAGUCCAUCAGCUGCGCAGCUCACUUCUUAUCAAGCAGAAACAGUGAAAAGGAUUUCCAUGGAUUUGCAAUAAGCCAUAGAGGGGGAGGGGGAGGGGAGAUACAGUGCAAGAGCAAUAGACGACUUUUGG
rnacentral:misc_RNA from 1 species